UACGGAGGGGGCUAGCGUUGUUCGGAAUUACUGGGCGUAAAGCGCUCGUAGGCGGCUUUGUAAGUUAGAGGUGAAAGCCCAGGGCUCAACCCUGGAAUUGCCUUUAAGACUGCCUCGCUUGAACAUCGGAGAGGUAAGUGGAAUUCCGAGUGUAGAGGUGAAAUUCGUAGAUAUUCGGAAGAACACCAGUGGCGAAGGCGACUUACUGGACACAUAUUGACGCUGAGGUGCGAAAGCGUGGGGAGCAAACAGG
rnacentral:rRNA from 1 species